rnacentral:rRNA from 1 species
UUUCGCAAUGCCCGAAAGGGUGACGAAGCGACGCCGCGUGUGGGAAGAAGGCCUUCGGGUUGUAAACCACUGUUGGGAGUUAGGAAAUGCAGGUGCGUUAAUAGCGCACUUGCUUGACUAAGGCUCCAGAGGAAGCCACGGCUAACUCUGUGCCAGCAGCCGCGGUAAUACAGAGGCGGCAAGCGUUGUUCGGAAUUAUUGGGCGUAAAGAGCACGUAGGCGGCCUUGCGAGUCAGUUGUGAAAGCCUUCCGCUUAACGGAAGAACGGCAUCUGAUACUACAGGGCUUGAGUACGGGAGGGGAGAGUGGAACUUCUGGUGGAGCGGUGAAAUGCGUAGAUAUCAGAAGGAACGCCGGCGGCGAAAGCGACUCUCUGGUCCGAAACUGACGCUGAGUGUGCGAAAGCUAGGGGAGCAAACGGGAUUAGAUACCCCGGUAGUCCUAGCCGUAAACGAUGGGCACUAAGUAGAGGGGUUUU